rnacentral:rRNA from 1 species
CAGCAGCCGCCGCGGUAAUACGUAGGUGGCUAGCGUUGCUCGGAAUGACUGGGCGUAAAGGGCGCGUAGGCGGUUUGCACAGCCAGAUGUGAAAUUCCUGGGCUUAACCUGGGGGCUGCAUUUGAUACGUGCGGACUUGAGUGUGAAAGAGGGUCGUGGAAUUCCCAGUGUAGAGGUGAAAUUCGUAGAUAUUGGGAAGAACACCGGUGGCGAAGGCGGCGACCUGGUUCAUGACUGACGCUGAGGCGCGAAAGCGUGGGGAGCAAAUGGGAUUAGAUACCCCCGUAGUCCCUGUCUCUUAUAC